CAUCAGAACACCCUAAUGGUAAUGAUUCUAAAUUGUAUACAACUAGUUGCAACUGAGUGGCAAGACAUAGGAUUUGUUCUAGUUCCUACUACAAGUUGCAGGCUCUCAGCGUCAGAUCUUCAGGGAGUCGUCCGAUUAUUAGUGUUGACAUGUUGAACUAUAUGAUACCAGAAGAAACUGAGUUUGGCCCAAGGAUCCAGUUGUGAACUCACACCCCAUGCGAUCUAAAUACUAAAAUGCCAAUGUCCUGUGAUACCUCAGCUUGCAUUAUUGUGCAGUUAUAAACCUGAUGCUGCAGGCCAUUUGAAGGACUUAACUUCAUGUUGCAGUCUAUUUCAUAUACGUGUGUACCAUUUUGUACCUGUCAAAACAUAUCUUCGUCUUAACAUGAAUAACACCACUCAGACAUGGUGUACUAACUCCAAGCUGAAUAAAGUACUGUCGGAAAUAGAAAAAA